UGCGCAGGUGGCCAAGUGUGUGAGGCGUGAAAGCCCGGAGCUCAACUCCGGAAUUGCACCUCAAACUACAUGGCUAGAGCAUUGGAGAGGGGAGCAGAAUUCACGGUGUAGCAGUGAAAUGCGUAGGUAUCGUGAGGAAUACCAGAGGCGAAGGCGGCUCCCUGGACAAUAGCUGACACUCAGGCACGAAAGCGUGGGGAGCAAAAGGGAUUAGAUACCCCUGUAGUCCACGCCCUAAACGGUGCACACUAGGUCUUGGAGGAUUCGACCCCUUCAGGGCCCAAGCUAACGCGUUAAGUGUGCCGCCUGAGGACUACGGCCGCAAGGCUAAA
rnacentral:rRNA from 1 species